rnacentral:lncRNA from 1 species
UUGGGGGCUCCAAGAGAAAAGCCUGUUCUUUGUUACUAAGUCAAAGGAAUAAGCCUAGUCUCAAGAGUGUGUGUGUGCAUGUGCUCAUGAAGGUGUGUGGACCUUCAGAAUUAUGAAAUAAUCCUGUAUUCUUAUUAAUGCUAUAGUUGGCAGGUUGUGCUGGAAACAUAACUAUGCAAUAGUCUACAGGGAUUUUAAUGGAUUCAAGUCACUAAUAUAUCCAUUCAUUGCUUCCUAAAUGUGUAUAAAAAAAAAAUUGCCACAUACGAGUUAGAGUGAUUAAGUUAGGUGGAAAAAUUUAUUUCUUAGAUUAUCAGGUAAAGAUUUGGACUGCUUGUUUGUUUCAUUAGCAGACUGAAUAAAAGAAUAUACACGAAUUAGUUUAUUUUGCUUCAUUGCUUUUGUCAUUCCUUAGUUAUGUGUAUUUAACAGCAGAUACUGUGAUCUGAAGGUUGAGAUAUAGCACAGUUUAAUGAAAUAUAUUGCUUAAGGUUUAUAUGCA